rnacentral:rRNA from 1 species
GAUGAACGCUGGCGGCGUGCCUAAUACAUGCAAGUCGAGCGAACAGACGAGGAGCUUGCUCCUCUGACGUUAGCGGCGGACGGGUGAGUAACACGUGGAUAACCUACCUAUAAGACUGGGAUAACUUCGGGAAACCGGAGCUAAUACCGGAUAAUAUAUUGAACCGCAUGGUUCAAUAGUGAAAGACGGUUUUGCUGUCACUUAUAGAUGGAUCCGCGCCGCAUUAGCUAGUUGGUAAGGUAACGGCUUACCAAGGCGACGAUGCGUAGCCGACCUGAGAGGGUGAUCGGCCACACUGGAACUGAGACACGGUCCAGACUCCUACGGGAGGCAGCAGUAGGGAAUCUUCCGCAAUGGGCGAAAGCCUGACGGGGCAACGCCGCGUGAUUGAUGAAGGUCUUCGGAUCGUAAAACUCUGUUAUUAGGGAAGAACAAAUGUGUAAGUAACUAUGCACGUCUUGACGGUACCUAAUCAGAAAGCCACGGCUAACUACGUG